rnacentral:lncRNA from 1 species
UCAAGGGCAAGGCCCUAGCAGAUGAGAAGGGACUGUCAGAUUACAACAUUGGCCCCAACUCUAAACUCAACCUAGUUGUUAAGCCUUGGGAGAAGGUGCUACUGUAAGAAGGGUCUGCCCAGAGACUGGGCGACUCCCCAGCCAUCCCCAUCUGGCAGCUGAUCUCCAAAGGCCUGGCCCCUCACUUCAGUAUAGGAGAUGCCAGCAGGGUCCUGGAACAACUACAGAGGGAUUAUGACAGGUCCUUGUGCCGCCUAAUACUGGAUGACAUCGAAUGUUUGGCCAGACGCUUUCUACACCCUGAAGUGACUGAGGCCAUGGAAAAGGGGUUCUGCAAAUAGCAUUGUGGGAUUGUGGGGAGAAAUCCCAGGUCAGGCCACAGAGCUGCAUGUUGCAUUAAAUGUGUUCUUGUGUCAAAAAAGAAAAAAAAA